rnacentral:rRNA from 1 species
GACGAACCGUACGAACGUUAUUCGGAAUUACUGGGCUUAAAGGGUGCGUAGGCUGUGCAGAAAGUUGGGUGUGAAAUCCCCCGGCUCAACCGGGGAAUGGCGCUCAAAACUACUGUGCUAGAGGGAGACAGAGGUAAGCGGAACUCAGGGUGGAGCGGUGAAAUGCGUUGAUAUCCUGAGGAACACCGGUGGCGAAGGCGGCUUACUGGGUCUCUUCUGACGCUGAGGCACGAAAGCUAGGGUAGCGAAC